UAGAGAAAACAUGAGCUUUGGAAUCACACAGUACUGGGUUCAAGUUCUAGCAUUUGCAUGUACCAGCUUGAGUGACCAUGGGUGUGCUGUGCUCCCUAGGUCUGAAGGCCUUGUGAAUGACUGACUUCACCCUUCUGCACACUGAUCUUCCUAACAAUGUUCCAAAAGGUGUCUACUGAUUCACGGGAAAGUCUUGACCACUGCCAGGAUGAUACAGUUCUUUGUAGAUCCCACUAUGGCUGAGAUUGACUGAGAAAUCCACAAUGUUGAAAACGAGAACACUAAGCUCCUUCUCUGAGACACUGACUCUGGCCAGUCCAACUUACUCAGAGAUAAGAUGAGACCAAAACACGUAAUGAAUGAACAAGAAAUGAUCCUUUGGAAUUUUAGUUAUUUGAGCAGCUUAGUUUAGAGAAUUCCUUCUUCCUUUUCAGACAAGCAGUUCACACGCCCUAAGUGGAAAACCUGGAACCAGAGUGAAGACUAGAUAAGGCAGCUUUUCUCCUGAGGGAGGGAGGAGGGGGCAUGAUGAGGCCAUGUAGUUGACAUUGGUAUUGUGUAGCUGAGCUGGCACAGAAUACAGCAGAGUAUCCCCCUGACUAUUCCUAUUUCAAAGAUAUAUAAUACUUUCACCACCUCCUUUUCACUAUUUUUUAUAUCUGGAUGGGACAUAUUAAGUGGCCUCACAGUGUAAUGAGUUUCAAUGUCCUCCUGACAAUGUGAUUAAAACUUAUUUUUUUU